GGGAGAGUCUCGUCCAUGGUGGACAGGCAGGGGAGUCUCGUCCAUGGUGGUCAGGCAGGGAGAGUCUCGUCCAUGGUGGACAGGCAGGGAGAGUCUCGUCCAUGGUGGACAGGCAGGGAGAGUCUCGUACAUGGUGGACAGGCAGG